rnacentral:lncRNA from 1 species
CUUGAAUCCCAGGAUCCACCUCUGAUGUUCAGUGAAGAAUACCAGAAAAGUCUGCUAGAGCAGUACCAUCUGGGUCUGGAUCAAAAACGCAGAAAAUACGUGGUUGGAGAGCUCAUCUGGAAUUUUGCCGAUUUCAUGACUAACCAGUCCAAGGAUGAAGGAAAAACUGGACCUCAUUAUGGAUUUACUUUUGGGAUACACUCAUUAUUCCAGAGGAGGGUAAAAGGCUGAGAAGCUUAAGGUAUUUCAGUCUGUUUUAUGUUACUCAUUUGCGAAAAGCAGGCUCAUCGAAUACAGGUGAGUUUCAACGCGUCUUGAAUAUGGCAGCAUUUAAAAGUCUUCAGACCAGGCAUGGUGGCUCAUGCCUGUCAUCCCAGCACUUUGGGAGGCCAAGGUGAGAGGAUUGCUUGAGGCCAGGAGUUCGAGACCAGCCUGUUCAGCAUAGCAGGACCCCCAUCUCUACAAAAACUAAACAGAUUAGCUAGGUGUGGUGGUGUGUGCCUGUAGUCCUAGCUGCUUGGGAGGCUGAGGCAGGCGGAUAGCCUGAGCACAGGAGUUGGAGGCUGCAGUAAGCCAUGAUUACACCACUGCACUUGAGCCUGGGCAACAGAGUGAGACCUGUCUUUAAAAAAAAAAAAAAGGAGCUGGGCACGGUGGCUCAUGCCUGUAAUCCCAGCACUUUGGGAGGCUGAGGCAGGCAGAUCAUGAGGUCAGGAGAUCGAGACCAUCCUGGCUAACAGUGAAACCCUGUCUCUACUGAAAAUACAAAAAAAAUCAGCCAGGCGUGGUGGCGGGCACCUGUAGUCCCAGCUGCUCGGGAGGCUGAGGCAGGAGAAUGGCAUGAACCCAGGAGUUGGAGCUUGCAGUGAGCCGAGAUUGUGCCACUGCACUCCAGCCUGGGCGACAGUGAGAC